rnacentral:lncRNA from 1 species
GUCAUGAUCUCAGGGGCCUGGAAUCGAGUCCCGCAUCGGGCUCUCUGCUCUGCAGGGAGUCUGCUUCCUCCUCUCCCUCUCUCUGCCUGCCUGUCUGCCUGCUUGUGAUCUCUGUCUGUCAAAUAAAUAAAUAAAACCUUUAAAAAAAAUUAAAAGUAGUUUUCACCAUUUACAAAAUCGGCUAGGCAAGUGAAUUUGGAAUAGCUACUCAUUAACUUUUUUUUUUUUUUAAACGAAAAAUUCUUAAAUCUCUAUCUCAGGAUUUAUGUCGAUUCUGGAUGACUGUUGAAUAUAGUAGUACCGUUCCACCUUUCUCUUUACAGCUGCCGCUGACAGUUUCAGCUCACAUUGUUUUUCUCCCAUUCCUUACAGGUUCUAAAGCCUGCCUCUGCUAUGUAACAACAUUUUAUGAAAUGACGGCUUGUUUUGUUUGAUUUU